rnacentral:rRNA from 1 species
UCCUGGCUCAGAACGAACGCUGGCGGCGUGCUUAACACAUGCAAGUCGAACGCGAAAGGGACUUCGGUCCUGAGUAAAGUGGCGCACGGGUGAGUAACGCGUAGAUAACCUGUCUUCAUGUCUGGAAUAAUACGCCGAAAGGGGUACUAAUACCGGAUAUUCUUGCUUUUCAUAAGUUAUGCAAGCAAAGGUGGCCUCUGCAUAUGCUACUGCAUGAAGAGGGGUCUGCGUACCAUUAGCUAGUAGGUGGGGUAAUGGCCUACCUAGGCGACGAUGGUUAGCGGGUCUGAGAGGAUGAUCCGCCACACUGGCACUGGAACACGGGCCAGACUCCUACGGGAGGCAGCAGUGAGGAAUAUUGCGCAAUGGGGGAAACCCUGACGCAGCGACGCCGCGUGAAGUGAGGAAGGCCUUCGGGUCGUAAAGCUCUGUCAAGAGGAAAGAAGUGUACAAUGGCUAAUACCUGUUGUAUUUGACGGUACCUCUAAAGGAAGCACCGACUAACUCCGUGCCAGCCGCCGC